UACGAAGGGGGCUAGCGUUGUUCGGAAUUACUGGGCGUAAAGCGCGCGCAGGCGGUCUUCCAAGUCAGUGGUGAAAGCCCGGAGCUCAACUCCGGAACUGCCAUUGAAACUGUAAGACUUGAGGAUGAGAGAGGUGAGUGGAAUUCCCAGUGUAGAGGUGAAAUUCGUAGAUAUUGGGAAGAACACCGGUGGCGAAGGCGGCGAUCUGGGCAGAUACUGACGCUGAGGUGCGAAAGCGUGGGGAGCAAACAGG
rnacentral:rRNA from 1 species